rnacentral:rRNA from 1 species
CCUACGGGAGGCUGCAGUGGGGAAUAUUGCGCAAUGGGCGAAAGCCUGACGCAGCGACGCCGCGUGAGGGAUGAAGGUCUUCGGAUCGUAAACCUCUGUCAGCAGGGAAGUACGGUCACUGUGCUAAUCAGCCGUGAAUUGACGGUACCUGCAAAGGAAGCACCGGCUAACGCCGUGCCAGCAGCCGCGGUAAUACGGAGGGUGCGAGCGUUAAUCGGAAUUACUGGGAGUAAAGCGCUCGUAGGCGGUAUGUCAAGUCAAGGGUGAAUUCCCUGCGCUCAACGUGGGAACUGCCUUAGAAACUGGCAAUCUGGAGUGUGGGAGAGGAGAGUGGAAUUCGAGGUGUAGGAGUGAAAUCCGUAGAUAUCUGGAGGAACAUCAGUGGCGAAGGCGACUAUCUGGAACAUAACUGACGCUGAGGAGCGAAAGCGUGGGUAGCAAACAGGAUUAGAGACCCCGGUAGUC